rnacentral:rRNA from 1 species
UCGAACGGCAGCACAGAGGGAGCUUGCUCCUUGGGUGGCGAGUGGCGGACGGGUGAGGAAUACAUCGGAAUCUACUCUGUCGUGGGGGAUAACGUAGGGAAACUUACGCUAAUACCGCAUACGACCUACGGGUGAAAGCAGGGGACCUUCGGGCCUUGCGCGAUUGAAUGAGCCGAUGUCGGAUUAGCUAGUUGGCGGGGUAAAGGCCCACCAAGGCGACGAUCCGUAGCUGGUCUGAGAGGAUGAUCAGCCACACUGGAACUGAGACACGGUCCAGACUCCUACGGGAGGCAGCAGUGGGGAAUAUUGGACAAUGGGCGCAAGCCUGAUCCAGCCAUACCGCGUGGGUGAAGAAGGCCUUCGGGUUGUAAAGCCCUUUUGUUGGGAAAGAAAUCCAGCUGGCUAAUACCCGGUUGGGAUGACGGUACCCAAAGAAUAAGCACCGGCUAACUUCGUGCCAGCAGCCGCGGUAAUACGAAGGGUGCAAGCGUUACUCGGAAUUACUGGGCGUAAAGCGUGCGUAGGUGGUCGUUUAAGUCCGUUGUGAAAGCCCUGGGCUCAACCUGGGAACUGCAGUGGAUACUGGGCGACUAGAGUGUGGUAGAGGGUAGCGGAAUUCCUGGUGUAGCAGUGAAAUGCGUAGAGAUCAGGAGG